ACAAAAGAAAUUUUCGUCUCUAGAAAGCGUCGAUAAGUCAAGCACAUGUCACGCACGUGAAUGGUUUGUACCUCGUAAGUCGCAACUUAGCCCACGUUUCAAACUUUCAAUUCUAAGGUGAAAAUAAACCAAAAAAAAAAAGACGACUAAGUUCUCAACUUCUCAACCCUGACUAUUCCCCCCUCCGUGAGAUCAAUGGUCUGUAAAUCUAGUUCUUAACUCUACUUGCAAUUCGGUGAAAUUUCUCUACUCACUUUGAAUUGUAAUCAAUUUUGUCACUCUCUAAUUCUACGCCGCCGUUAAUUCUAAGAGGUGUAUAUUCAAGAAAAGCGUUUUGCUGAAGAGAGAGAAAGUGAAAAAAUGGUGAAGCCUUUGGGAUCAACAAUUGAAUUCUUCAGGAGACGCGAUGAGUGGAGGAAGCACCCCACUCUCUGCAACCAACUCCGUUUCCGUCACGCUGUUCCUGGCCAUGGUCUUGGUGUCGGCGCAUUUUGAGUUUACCUCGUCGGCGAAACCAUCUACAAUCAGUUCUAUGCUUCCUCUCAUUCUUCUUCUUCUCACCAUUGAGUUUCAAGAUCAAUCGUCUACUUGGGCCUUGUUCUUUUGAGCUUCUGGGCAGAGCAGAGCAGAUUUCAGCAAAGCAGAGCAGAGCAUAGCAGAUUUCAGCCGAGCCGAGCAGAGCAGAGCAGAUUUUAUUAU